rnacentral:misc_RNA from 1 species
AACUUUUAGCAACGGAUCACUGGGCUCUCGCAUCGAUGAAGAACGCAGCGAAAUGCGAUAAGUAAUGUGAAUUGCAGCAUUCAGGGAAUCAUCGAAUCUUUGAACGCAUCUUGCGCUCCUUGGUAUUCCGAGGAGCAUGCCUGUUUGAGUGUCAUUUGACUUAUCAACCGCUUCAUGGUGAACAUGGACGUGGCUUUGGAUGUGGGGGUCUUUGCAGGCUUUUUUGAAUCUGAAAGGUCGGCUCCCCUGAAACGCAUUAGUGGCAUCUGAGCUGCUACUAUAGGUGUGAUAAAUUAUCUAUGCCUUUGGUAUGCUGCAUGAACGGAUUGCGCUGCUUACAACGACGAAAAAGAACUUGACAAACUUGACCUCAAAUCAGGUAGGACUACCCGCUGAACUUAAGCAUAUCAAUAAGCGGAGGCU